GGCGGCGCGUCUUAAACAUGCAAGUCAAACGGCUGUAGCAAUACAGCAGUGGCGAACGGGUGAGUAACACGUAGGUAAUCUACCCUCGAGUUGGGGAUAACCUACCGAAAGGUAGGCUAAUACCGGAUAGUAUCAUGAUAGCGAGAGCUGAUGUGAUUAAAGGAGCAAUUCGCUUGGGGAUGAGCCUGCGGCUGAUUAGCUAGUUGGUGAGGUAAAGGCUCACCAAGGCGACGAUCAGUAGCCGGCCUGAGAGGGUGAACGGCCACAUUGGGACUGAGACANNUC
rnacentral:rRNA from 1 species